GGGUUGUGAGGUUAAGCGACUAAGCGUACACGGUGGAUGCCCUGGCAGUCAGAGGCGAUGAAGGACGUGCUAAUCUGCGAUAAGCGUCGGUAAGGUGAUAUGAACCGUUAUAACCGGCGAUUUCCGAAUGGGGAAACCCAGUGUGUUUCGACACACUAUCAUUAACUGAAUCCAUAGGUUAAUGAGGCGAACCGGGGGAACUGAAACAUCUAAGUACCCCGAGGAAAAGAAAUCAACCGAGAUUCCCCCAGUAGCGGCGAGCGAACGGGGAGCAGCCCAGAGCCUGAAUCAGUAUGUGUGUUAGUGGAAGCGUCUGGAAAGGCGCGCGAUACAGGGUGACAGCCCCGUACACAAAAAUGCACAUGCUGUGAGCUCGAUGAGUAGGGCGGGACACGUGGUAUCCUGUCUGAAUAUGGGGGGACCAUCCUCCAAGGCUAAAUACUCCUGACUGACCGAUAGUGAACCAGUACCGUGAGGGAAAGGCGAAAAGAACCCCGGCGAGGGGAGUGAAAAAGAACCUGAAACCGUGUACGUACAAGCAGUGGGAGCACGCUUCGGCGUGUGACUGCGUACCUUUUGUAUAAUGGGUCAGCGACUUAUAUUCUGUAGCAAGGUUAACCGAAUAGGGGAGCCGAAGGGAAACCGAGUCUUAACUGGGCGUUAAGUUGCAGGGUAUAGACCCGAAACCCGGUGAUCUAGCCAUGGGCAGGUUGAAGGUUGGGUAACACUAACUGGAGGACCGAACCGACUAAUGUUGAAAAAUUAGCGGAUGACUUGUGGCUGGGGGUGAAAGGCCAAUCAAACCGGGAGAUAGCUGGUUCUCCCCGAAAGCUAUUUAGGUAGCGCCUCGUGAAUUCAUCUCCGGGGGUAGAGCACUGUUUCGGCAAGGGGGUCAUCCCGACUUACCAACCCGAUGCAAACUGCGAAUACCGGAGAAUGUUAUCACGGGAGACACACGGCGGGUGCUAACGUCCGUCGUGAAGAGGGAAACAACCCAGACCGCCAGCUAAGGUCCCAAAGUCAUGGUUAAGUGGGAAACGAUGUGGGAAGGCCCAGACAGCCAGGAUGUUGGCUUAGAAGCAGCCAUCAUUUAAAGAAAGCGUAAUAGCUCACUGGUCGAGUCGGCCUGCGCGGAAGAUGUAACGGGGCUAAACCAUGCACCGAAGCUGCGGCAGCGACGCUUAUGCGUUGUUGGGUAGGGGAGCGUUCUGUAAGCCUGUGAAGGUGUGCUGUGAGGCAUGCUGGAGGUAUCAGAAGUGCGAAUGCUGACAUAAGUAACGAUAAAGCGGGUGAAAAGCCCGCUCGCCGGAAGACCAAGGGUUCCUGUCCAACGUUAAUCGGGGCAGGGUGAGUCGACCCCUAAGGCGAGGCCGAAAGGCGUAGUCGAUGGGAAACAGGUUAAUAUUCCUGUACUUGGUGUUACUGCGAAGGGGGGACGGAGAAGGCUAUGUUGGCCGGGCGACGGUUGUCCCGGUUUAAGCGUGUAGGCUGGUUUUCCAGGCAAAUCCGGAAAAUCAAGGCUGAGGCGUGAUGACGAGGCACUACGGUGCUGAAGCAACAAAUGCCCUGCUUCCAGGAAAAGCCUCUAAGCAUCAGGUAACAUCAAAUCGUACCCCAAACCGACACAGGUGGUCAGGUAGAGAAUACCAAGGCGCUUGAGAGAACUCGGGUGAAGGAACUAGGCAAAAUGGUGCCGUAACUUCGGGAGAAGGCACGCUGAUAUGUAGGUGAAGUCCCUCGCGGAUGGAGCUGAAAUCAGUCGAAGAUACCAGCUGGCUGCAACUGUUUAUUAAAAACACAGCACUGUGCAAACACGAAAGUGGACGUAUACGGUGUGACGCCUGCCCGGUGCCGGAAGGUUAAUUGAUGGGGUCAGCGCAAGCGAAGCUCUUGAUCGAAGCCCCGGUAAACGGCGGCCGUAACUAUAACGGUCCUAAGGUAGCGAAAUUCCUUGUCGGGUAAGUUCCGACCUGCACGAAUGGCGUAAUGAUGGCCAGGCUGUCUCCACCCGAGACUCAGUGAAAUUGAACUCGCUGUGAAGAUGCAGUGUACCCGCGGCAAGACGGAAAGACCCCGUGAACCUUUACUAUAGCUUGACACUGAACAUUGAGCCUUGAUGUGUAGGAUAGGUGGGAGGCUUUGAAGUGUGGACGCCAGUCUGCAUGGAGCCGACCUUGAAAUACCACCCUUUAAUGUUUGAUGUUCUAACGUGGACCCGUGAUCCGGGUUGCGGACAGUGUCUGGUGGGUAGUUUGACUGGGGCGGUCUCCUCCUAAAGAGUAACGGAGGAGCACGAAGGUUGGCUAAUCCUGGUCGGACAUCAGGAGGUUAGUGCAAUGGCAUAAGCCAGCUUGACUGCGAGCGUGACGGCGCGAGCAGGUGCGAAAGCAGGUCAUAGUGAUCCGGUGGUUCUGAAUGGAAGGGCCAUCGCUCAACGGAUAAAAGGUACUCCGGGGAUAACAGGCUGAUACCGCCCAAGAGUUCAUAUCGACGGCGGUGUUUGGCACCUCGAUGUCGGCUCAUCACAUCCUGGGGCUGAAGUAGGUCCCAAGGGUAUGGCUGUUCGCCAUUUAAAGUGGUACGCGAGCUGGGUUUAGAACGUCGUGAGACAGUUCGGUCCCUAUCUGCCGUGGGCGCUGGAGAACUGAGGGGGGCUGCUCCUAGUACGAGAGGACCGGAGUGGACGCAUCACUGGUGUUCGGGUUGUCAUGCCAAUGGCACUGCCCGGUAGCUAAAUGCGGAAGAGAUAAGUGCUGAAAGCAUCUAAGCACGAAACUUGCCCCGAGAUGAGUUCUCCCUGACCCUUUAAGGGUCCUGAAGGAACGUUGAAGACGACGACGUUGAUAGGCCGGGUGUGUAAGCGCAGCGAUGCGUUGAGCUAACCGGUACUAAUGAACCGUGAGGCUUAACCUUACAACGCCGAAGCUGUU
rnacentral:rRNA from 1 species